UACGUUAACAUUUAUUUUUACGUUUUUACUUCAAUACAUCAAGAAACAGUUUUUUUAAAAACUACUUUGCACUUGUGGAGAGAUUAAUCGGUUAAAAUGCUGCGAAAUAAACAUCUUAAGUCUCAGGCUCAACUUCUUGUCAUGAAUGUGCUUAAUUAUUUUGAAAGAGAACGAGAUAAUCAGGGCGCAAUGGUUCCAUUUCAAUCUGUUAUGCAGCGCACCUCAGAAGCCUGUGGAGUGAGCAUAAACACGGUUUCUGCUAUAAGAAAGCGAGUGACUGAAGCACAAAAAGAAAAUAAGCCGCCACAAUCACCAGCUAAAAAGAGAAGAUGUACAAAGAGCAAGUCUGAAAACGUGGAGGACUAUGUGAAGGAUGCUGUCAAAAGAAAAAUUUAUGAAAUGCAUUCCAAAUGUAUUCAUGUUACGAUAGCAUCUUUGGCAAAAAGAACUGGCUGAAUGCGAAAUUUUCGAAUUUAGUAAGACGAGUUUAAGGCGCCUGCUACACUCCAUUGGUUUUUCCUUUAAAUUAGAUGAUGGUAGAAAAGCUUUACUUGAACAACCCCAUAUUGCUGCCCAUCGUGUACGGUUCUAAGGGAAUACCACAAAAAUAAAGAAGAUGAACUUUACAAGCCCGUUUUCUUAGAUGAGACUUGGAUUUUCAGUCGAGGUUCACAAAAAAAAAAGUUAGCACAAUGAGGCUAAGGAAAGCACAAAGAAGAGGUCAAUGGGAGAAGGAAAAAGAUUCAUAGUGCUGCAUGCAGGCAAUGAAAAUGGCUUUAUUCCUGAUGCAUCGCUUUUGUUUUCCACAAAAUCCCAAAGUGCUGACUUCCAUGGUGAUAUGUGUGCAGAAUUAUUUACAAAAUGGUUUAAAGACAGUUUAAUUCCUAAUAUAAGUGAGCCAUCGUUAAUCAUCAUGGACAAUGCCAGUUAUCAUUCAAAACUGACGGAAAAAGCCCCAAAUACAUCCUCUAACAAAGAAGAAAUAUGCCAGUAUUUAUUAAAGCAUAAUGUUCCCUAUGAACCGACCAUGUUCAAAAAGGAAUUAUUACAUUUAGUUGUCGAUAAUGCGAAACCAAAGGUGUACGAAAUUGACGAGAUCGCCAACAGCUACGGCCACAGAGUGUUACGAUUGCCUCCAUACCAUUGCCAAUUUAACCCCAUCGAGCUUGUAUGGGGUAACUGCAAAGAAUUUUAUAAUAAAAACAUCGGGCGAAAUAAUGUAAAGUUCGAUGACAACCACGUCAAAGAAAUUUGGACUGAAUCUUUGGGAAGGGUCGAUGGUGAUUAUUGGCAAAAAUG